AAGGUACAACUCAUACAUCAGAUGACAUGGACAGAAAUCUGUUUUGUUGCUUCCUUUUCAUGCUGCUGUUUCAAGGUGAUGUCUGCAGCGAAAUCAGACUGGAUCAGUCUCACUCUGAGGUGAAGAGACCAGGAGAGCCAGUCAAGAUCUCCUGUCAAAUAUCAGGCUUUAGCAUGACAGAUAGUUAUAUGCACUGGAUCAGACAGAAACCAGGACAGGCUCUGGAGUGGAUUGGAAGGAUAGAUAGUGGAAGCAGUAAAGUUCCUAUUUAUGCCAGUUCUAUGGAAGGCCACUUCACUCUGACUGAGGACGUUCCCAGCAGCACUCAGUUCUUGGAGGCCCAGAGUCUGAGAGCAGAGGACUCUGCUGUUUACUACUGUGCUCGACAGCCACAGUGA